rnacentral:lncRNA from 1 species
UAGAACUUGCGUAAUAUACUAUCAUUCUAUCUCCACGAAGUUCAUACAUGUUGUAGCACGAUACAAUUGAUUUAUGCUUCCAAUUCUAGACUUUGAUACUUUCUAUUUUUUACCAGUUAUUUUGCAUGAAAAUCUCAGUGUUCCUUGGAAUUCUCUUCUUCUUCACUCCCAGGUGUGAAGUGUCCUUCUCUAUGUCUAGAUGCAAAUCUUUAUGUCGUCUCUCCUUAUACUAUCUAAAUUCCUACCCUGCUGACCGUCUUUUAUGGAAUCUGAGAGCUAUUUAUCUUCCCCCGAUAGUGCUUUACCUGCGUCUUCAGUUUUAUAUUUCUCAUUCUUGACCAUGGAUGUUUCCUCCAUCACCAGUGCUCUUUUGCUCCUCUUUUACUAGAAAUAAUGUCUUUGACAGCACAAGAAUCUGUCAAUAGCUGUGAAGGGGGGUCGUGGGUUAAGAAUGGGAAAGCCUCUUUGGUACCUGUAAGAAAGAAGAGAACUUUAAAGAACAAAAAUAAGAAAAAGCUAACUGUCUUUAAGGUUAAGAUAUUUGUUGAUGCUAAAAUUUGUUUUACAUGGCACAUAUGUUUUGUACCAGCUGCAACGGGCCACUCCAUCCAAGCCUUUUAGAACACUACAAAUAAUGGAUUCACAAUGGUUUGUAAGAUGACUACUAAUUUAUUCUUGCUAGUAUUGGUAAAAUAACAAAGGCACAAACAGAAAAACUAAAUGGAAAAAGAAUGAUGAGUUGAGUACACAUACAAAUCUGGUAGCUCAUUAAUUCGAUUGAGAUGGAAUUCAAGAGUGGAUUUACACACCAUCUGUGUUUUUCACAAUCAUCUUCUUCAUCUUCUGCUUCC